UCAAGAUGAAAACCUUCAUUCUGAUCGCCUGCAUCCUGGGGAUUGCUCUUGGCCGCCCUCAAAGGCUGGUCAUGGAGUUUGACUUCCAGGCUGCCAACGCUCAGGCUCUCCAAGCUGGACAAGCCAGACCUGAUCUAGAGAUU